rnacentral:rRNA from 1 species
UGAGGAAUAUUGCACAAUGGAGGAAACUCUGAUGCAGCAACGCCGCGUGGAGGAUGACGCAUUUCGGUGUGUAAACUCCUUUUAUGAGUCAAGAAAAUGACGGUAGCUCAUGAAUAAGCACCGGCUAACUCCGUGCCAGCAGCCGCGGUAAUACGGAGGGUGCAAGCGUUAUUCGGAAUCACUGGGCGUAAAGGACGCGUAGGCGGGAAGCCAAGUCUGAUGUGAAAAUCCUAUGGCUUAACCAUAGAACUGCAUUGGAAACUGGUUACCUAGAGUAUGGGGAGGGGGAGAUGGAAUUAGUGGUGUAGGGGUAAAAUACCGUAGAUAUCACUAGGAAUACCGAAAGCGAAGGCGAUCUCCUGGAACAAUACUGACGCUAAGGCGUGAAAGCGUGGGGAGCAAACG